GGCCGGUUAGCUUAGUUGGUUAGAGCGUGGUGCUAAUAUCAACAAGGUCGCAGGUUUGAUCCCUGUAUGGGCCA